CUGACAAUCAUUCAUCAUCAACUCGACACAUAUGGAUACAUAUCAACUUUUUGUUCACGGUUUAAAUCUUGAUAGCGAGUGUUAGAUUGUGGCUAGUAUUCCGUCCGACUGUAUUCAAUAAUUCAAUAGGCAUAGUUUGCCUGCCAUGGUCUUGUUGAUCUUUGUAACCGGUUGGAUUAUGGAAUCUUUUAUCCCUCCAACUAUAUAAUGAGAAGAUGUAGCCCACCAUUCAAAAAAAAGGAAGAAGAAGAUGCAGUCCCAAGAGGGUUUUCCUUCACAUAAUUCUUUCAAAAUGAAAUUUUCCUUCAGCUCACACACCUAGAGGACAGAGCUAG
rnacentral:lncRNA from 1 species